GAUGAACGCUGGCUACAGGCUUAACACAUGCAAGUCGAGGGGAAACGGCAUUGAGUGCUUGCACUGAAUGGACGUCGACCGGCGCACGGGUGAGUAACGCGUAUCCAACCUUCCCGUUACUGCGGGAUAACCUGCCGAAAGGCAGACUAAUACCGCAUGUUCUUCGAUGACGGCAUCAGAUUCGAAGCAAAGAUCCGUCGGUAACGGAGGGGGAUGCGUCUGAUUAGCUAGUUGGCGGGGCGACGGCCCACCAAGGCGACGAUCAGUAGGGGUUCUGAGAGGAAGGUCCCCCACAUUGGAACUGAGACACGGUCCAAACUCCUACGGGAGGCAGCAGUGAGGAAUAUUGGUCAAUGGGCGGAAGCCUGAACCAGCCAAGUAGCGUGCAGGAUGACGGCCCUACGGGUUGUAAACUGCUUUUAUGCGGGGAUAAAGUGAGGGACGUGUCCCUUUUUGCAGGUACCGCAUGAAUAAGGACCGGCUAAUUCCGUGCCAGCAGCCGCGGUAAUACGGAAGGUCCGGGCGUUAUCCGGAUUUAUUGGGUUUAAAGGGAGCGUAGGCCGGGGAUUAAGUGUGUUGUGAAAUGUAGGCGCCCAACGUCUGACUUGCAGCGCAUACUGGUUCCCUUGAGUACGCGCAACGCCGGCGGAAUUCGUCGUGUAGCGGUGAAAUGCUUAGAUAUGACGAAGAACCCCGAUUGCGAAGGCAGCCGGCGGGAGCGCAACUGACGCUGAAGCUCGAAGGUGCGGGUAUCGAACAGG
rnacentral:rRNA from 1 species